rnacentral:lncRNA from 1 species
CCAAUCUUCUAGCAUGGUAUAGCCCGAGAAGCCUAUAGAAGGUGCCUUUAUCUUGGAGGAACAUGUAUCUUGGGUUGAACUAGUGGAGAAUUCGCCACCAGCAUGGCAUCUUCAAACCAUUAUUGGUGGGAUCCAACAAGGGACACCCCUCAAAAUGGAUCUUGGCCAACAAGAGAGCCAGUUUGAUCUCUUGGGGUCGUUC